CGGACGGGUGAGUAAUGCUUGGGAAUCUAGCUUAUGAGGGGGAGUAACUACGGGAAACUGUAGCUAAUACCGCGUAAUAUCGAAAGAUUAAAGUGUGGGACCUUCGGGCCACAUGCCAUAGGAUGAGCCCAAGUGGGGUUAGGUAGUUGGUGAGGUAAAGGCUCACCAAGCCGACGAUCUCUAGCUGGUCUGAGAGGAUGACCAGCCACACUGGGACUGAGACACGGCCCAG
rnacentral:rRNA from 1 species